GAAAGAUCGGAUUAUCAACAACUGUCCGAUUGGGCGUAUAAGAUGCCCCAAUCAAUUAGU
rnacentral:ncRNA from 1 species